rnacentral:lncRNA from 1 species
GCACUUGUGGGUCCGGGCUGUCACUUGUGGGGCAGCCGUGGGGCAGCUGUGGGGCGCUGAUCCCUCUCCGCAGUGUCGGGCCACGCUGGCCGCCUGGUCGUGGGCUACCUGGGCUCCGUCCCCUGCGCAGUCCUCCAGGGCCGCUUCCAUCUCUACGAGGGCUACAGCCCCGCUCAGGUGGGUCCUCCAGUCACCGCGGCGGCCCCUCACCCCGUCGCGGUGUUGUCGCGCCAACUCUAUGGUUGUUGCGUUCAUCUCUAUGGUUGGAGGUCCAAUCCAUCUCUAUGGUUGUUCUGUUCAACUCUAUGGUUGUUCUGUUCAACUCUAUGGUUGUUCUGUUCAACUCUAUGGUAGUUCUGUUCAACUCUAUGGUUGUUGCGUUCACCUCUAUGGUUGGAGGUCCCAUUUAUCUCUCUCCGGUCCUCCUGCUUCUCUCUAUGGUUGUUGGGUUCCUCUCCCCAGUCCUCCUGCUCCUCUCCCUGGUUUUCCUGCUCCUGUCUAUGGUUGUUGGGUUCCUCUUUACAGUCCUCCCAUUCCUCUCUAUCCGGUUGCUGGGUUCCUCUCCCUGGUCCUCUUGCUCCUCUCUGUGAUUCUCCCAUUCUUCUCUAUGGUUGUUAGGUUCCUUUCUAUGGUUCUCCCACUCGUCUCCCCGGUCCUCCCGCUCCUCUCUAUGGUCCUCCUGCUCCUCUCUGUGGUUGUUGGGUUCCUCUCCCUGGUCAUCCCGCUCCUCUCUUCAGUCCUCCUGCUCCUCUCUAUGGUUGUUGGGUUCCUCUCCCAGGUCCUCCCAAUCCUCUCUUCAGUCCUCCUCCUCCUCUCUAUGGUUGUUGGGUUCCUCUCCCUGGUCCUCCCACUCCUCUCCCUGGUCCUCCCACUCCUCUCCCUGGUCCUCCCACUCCUCUCCCUGGUCCUCCCACUCCUCUCCCUGGUCCUCCCACUCCUCUCCCGGGUCCUCCCAAUCCUCUCUUCAGUCCUCCUGCUCCUCUCUAUGGUUGUUGGGUU